UAGACAGUUAGACACCACAACCCCCAAGGCCCCAAUCAUUCUAAUCGACGCCCUUCUCACCUAAAUUCCCCUCUCUCUCUCUCUCUCUCUAGGAACUCUGGUCACACACUCCAUCUUCAUAGGAGUGUUCCUAAAAUGGUAUACCCAUGACCCAUCUCGUUAAAGUUCCAAAUUUCAACACUACCCUCUUCAAACAAGCAUGGCUUCUCUCCAGAUUCUGAAAUACAGCUUGUCUCCGUUCUCGGUUCCUCACUCGAAUUCCCCUCGAAAAUCGUGCUGUUUUUGCUCGGAAUCCAAAUCCCAACUAAGCAAUAGAAGGUUCCUCAGCUUUCAAAGCUCGAAAGUUUACGUUUUCAGAGGUUGUAGGAUUUCUUGCAAGGUUCAAGAAGGGGACAACAAAACUAACGGUGAAGAACCUCCAGAGUCAUUGUUUAUGAAAGAGUUAAGAAAGCGGGGGAUGACUCCCACUUCAUUGCUUGAGGAAACCGAUAGGAGUGUCAAAGAUGAAGAGAUAAAACUGAAGGAAGAAGAGGGAGGAUACUCAAAAAGAAAUGCGGUGUCAACAGAUUAUGAGAAAAGUUUAUCUAAUCAAAGGGAACGUUCCAUGGCACUGAACAGUGAAGGCCUUGAGGGAUUGAUUCCACGGGCUAAACUUUUGCUGUCUACUGGUGGAACAUUUUUCUUGGGAUUCGGACCAUUAAUCCUCAUAACGGUUGCAUCCUUCUCGGCUCUGUACCUUUAUUUUGGACCAACUUUUGUCCAUGAUGCAAGCAAAAUACCAAUAACACCACCUCAGUAUAUCGACCCCUACGUGCUUCUGGAAGAUGAAAGGAUAUCUCAAAUGGCUCCUCUUGUAAAAUGAAUGAAAAACAUCAUUUCACGGACACCAGCCAUUUCAAGCUUCCCUUGCAGGGAGAUUUAGGAUGUAGAUUGGAAAGAGCUAAGAUAUGGAUUGGAAAGGCUUGUAGGUCUGGACAGACUUGAUGAGGCCCUGUAUAGAUCCAGCUGCAGCAAGAAGUGACACAAUCAAGCAGAGCAUGCUGAGUAGCUGCAUAUAAAUCCAUGUGGGGGAAAAUCUACGGAUCUGUGCCUUUGAUAUGUACAUCUCAAUCGGAAAAUACACGGUCAAUGGCCAGAAAGUAGCAGCGCCCAUAAGACCCAAGAAAUCGUUGAAGAAUGGGAGCAUCGUCGCGACCACUGUUGUGAAUAUUACGUAUGCUGUUCUCCAGACAAGCCUAAAGAAGUUGAAGUUAAAAGUAGAUCCAAAUGGUAUGGGAAUGGGGUAUUCUCUUGCUAUGAAUCCACUCUGCGGCCAUUUCUUCCGGCACCAACUUUCCACAAAUCCAUACACAGGCUGACCAUAUACCUACACAUAUGCAUGAUACAGUAUACCAUAAAUUAUAGAGAAAAUUUGCCUGCACUAGGUAGGGAAGGGGUUCUGGAUAGAGAAAAACCCAACACAACUAGGUAGGGAAGGGAUUCUGGCCUGUUUGCAUAUACAUCUGUGUAAAUGUGGUUUAGAACCCCUAAAUUAUAAGUUUUUAACAAACAGAUGAUAUUUGAGGCGUAUAUGUCUGAAUCUAACUAGGGUAAAUCUGCUUCUCCUCCCCCCUUUUCUUUCUCCUAUUUUCUCUUUGCCAAUGAUCAAUCAAACUCAUGGCAUUCAAUUUAUUCAGUUCCCCCCUUCCCUUUGUGUAUCUUAUCUGAAGUUAUAUGAGUGGGAUGAGGUGAGGGCGGGACCAAUUGUUGGGGUUAGGUGCAGCGAGGGUGGGGCCAAUUGUGUGCCGCCCGUGGGGUAGUAGGGGUAUGCGCAUGACGGGUUUGAGGAGGGGUACCCUAUCUUAAUAAUGAGCCUUUGGCGUCCCUAGUAAUGAUCCUUUGUUUCGGGUUUCAAAUCCCUUGUCUUGACUAAUGAAGAGGUAGAAGCGCUCUCUCUCUCUCUCUCUCUCGGCAUUCUUGGAGGCAAAUGAUAAGAAGCUCUGCAAACAAAGGUACACCACUGGAUUGCCAUUAUAGAGAGUAUGUUUGAUGGUUUACCUGAUAGGCUCCAACAAGAUGAACAAUAAUGCACAAGUUGGCGAAGUCAACCAGCCAGAAGGGUUCAUAGAAACCGAAUCCGGUCAGAAAGUUCCCAGGUGCAUUGUUCCCAAAUGCCGCAUAACCCAGAACUCCGCAUAGCAUGUAGAAUGUGGUGCUGAUUGAGAUUCCAAUCAAGGAUGCCUGUAGCAGUCGGCAAGCAGAACAGAAGUGAACCAAGUGAUGAGAGAGAAUGUAACCAGAGCAAUUGGACCAGCAAUCCACCCCAAUUGAGCCAUAGCCCAUGCCAAGGACAGCACCCCCGACCCUAUCACUGCUGUUAUUAUGUGGGCACUUGCAGUCAUCAAAGUACCUUCAAAAACCAAAACCAAAACCAAGACCAAAACCGAAACAUUUAGGAUCUGUUGGGUAUAAACCGUAGCAAACAAAAAGAUGUUAAGUUCUUUUGGAGCACCGUCAAGGCCCCUUCCCCACCACAUAUUGAUAUAGGUUUCAUCACAAAGUGUGUGGCUCCACACCAACAUUUGGCGGAAAAUUGUCUUAGAGCACCACAUGGCCCAAGAACACUGAAAAAUCACUCGUAUUGCACAUAUUUUAUGUUCUUAUUUCAAAAGAUGCAGAAAACUUGUUUGAUUAAUACUUUUCCAAACUUGUUUUAGGAAGAGAGUUUCGAGCGCAGCCCAUUUUUCUGAAAAACACCACUGAUGAUUCCAAAUUCUGGAAAUUUAUUUC